AAGUCGUAACAAGGUCUCCGUUGGUGAACCAGCGGAGGGAUCAUUACCGAGUUCUUACAGAACCCAACCCUUGUGUGAUAAGCUCUCACCCAGCUUUUACACGGAAGUCUCGGCCUAAUCGCCGAGGCAGUGUAAAAAAAAAAACCUCUGUAUCAUUAUCACAAAUUUCUGAAGACUUUUUAAAAGAGUCAAAACUUUCAACAACGGAUCUCUUGGUUCUG
rnacentral:misc_RNA from 1 species